UGGCGGGCUAGGCCGGGGGGUUCGGCGUCCCCUGUAACCCGAAACCGUCGAUAGGCGGGGGCCGAAGCCGAGGGAAGGCUUGCUAAACGGAUGCGAACCUCCUAGAGCAUCGUAGAGUCCCCGUCCCGGAGGACCGGCGGUUGUGGGUGGCUUUCCGGAGGGAAUGUCACCCACAUUUGCCGGGGGAACCGGCCUAGGCCCGGAAGGGAGCAGGCUAACCCCGGACGAUCGGUGCUUUCGGGGUAGCGGGGAGGAGAUGCUCUAGGAAGGCUAGUAUCCGGUAGGCAAGUCGACCCAAGGCAUGCCCGCCA
rnacentral:SRP_RNA from 2 species